CCUACGGGAGGCAGCAGUAGGGAAUCUUUCACAAUGGGCGAAAGCCUGAUGGAGCAACGCCGCGUGCAGGAUGAAGGCCCUCGGGUUGUAAACUGCUUUUAUAAGCGAGAAAUAUGAUGGUAACUUAUGAAUAAGGAUCGGCUACCUACGUGCCAGCAGCCGCGGUCAUACGUAGGAUCCGAGCAUUAUCCGGAGUGACUGGGUGUAAAGAGUUGCGUAGGUGGCAUAAUAAGUAGCUAGUGAAAUCUGGUGGCUCAACCAUUCAGACUAUUAGCUAAACUGUUAAGCUCGAGACCGUUAGGGGUAACUGGAAUGUCUAGUGUAGGAGUGAAAUCCGUAGAUAUUAGAAGGAACACCAAUAGCGUAGGCAGGUUGCUGGGACGGUUCUGACACUAAGGCACGAAAGCGUAGGGAGCAAACGGGAUUAGAUACCCGAGUAGUC
rnacentral:rRNA from 1 species